rnacentral:lncRNA from 1 species
AUGCUCGUUAGCCCCCAGCCAACACAGAGAGGCCUCCCACACACAGCAGAGCACCAUCACAAGGCUGAUUUCCGCAGCCUGCUCAUUCCUGAAGUUUCUGCUGGAUUUGAGAGCUCGGCAGAAGUUCUCUGCAGACGAGCGACCCCGCGGCCACGUUCUGACCCUGCUCCUUCUUUAAGUUAUGAGUCGGCUGCUGUGAUGUGCAGCUAAGCUUCAGCGUGGGAUUACGUGGACGUGAUGGACGUUAAUACAAGGAAAUCAUUAUUUUCAAACAAAGACCUACAUGGAAGCGCUUUUUGAGCUACGGCCCUGUUUUGUCUCCAUGUCUCUCGAACACUGAUACAGAAACAGUCACGAGGCCUCUUAAUCCUAAAAGUACGAGUUGGUGAAGACACUUCAACAACUCGGCGCUGGUGGGACUCACGCCCGCGUCAUCGUCCUCUAAUCGGUAAAUGGUUAAAUAAUGAGGCUGUGCUGUGAUGCUACUCCUCCUUAUCAGCCCAAUCGGAGCCCGGCUUCCUCCUCCACCCCAGCGCUCAGCAUCCUCUCCUCCACCCUUCACACUUUUCAUGCGUUCUCACCCUCCGCCUUUUUGAAAGGUUUCUCCUCCGGCCUCCCUGGAUAUUGAUCCCCUCCCUCCCCAUCCCUCCAUCUCUCACCCCUCCUCUCUUUGUCUAUUGAUCCCUCGCUUCCUCCCCUGCCUCCCUCUCUCUCUCCCUCUCUCUCGCCCUCUCUCUCGCUCGCUGCUAUCAGCUCCGGCCUUUGUCUUCUUAUCGAGGUUUCAGGGUUUAUUCUGGCUGGCUGCUGUUAUUGACAGGCCUCUCGCUCCACGGCCAACUAAUGCAUCUCUAAUCCCACCUUUGUUACUGUGGAAUGGUUGAGUCUCACGCGCCCGCGCACACGCACGCGUGCGUCCGUACGCACACAGGUGACGCUUUGGCGCGAGGAUGUUGAUCCCAGCUUUCUGUUUGUUGGGAAAGCCAUCUAUCAAUCAGCAGCGCUGCUGUCUGUGUGUUUUUAUAUAUGCGCGUGUGUAGGUGCCGGUGUGAGCGCGGAUCUUUGAGUGACAGGCCGAAUCGUGGCUGAGGACGUUUGAUAAGCUUGUAUUGUCGGUCGUCGCCCCCCUCCCCCUCCCCCACCACCUCCACUCCCCCCUCUCCUCCCACCUCCACCUCCACCUCGAUAAGAAAUACAUUCGACUAGAGCUGAUAACGGUGUCAGGAGCAGCAAAGCCCCACUCUAAAGAGACACACACACCGGCCACGCCGCGGGAGAGGUGUCUUUCUUCAAACACCGCGGCUGUAAAUGAUACUUUCAACAAACAGCGGCGACAACACCACUCGGGGAGAAAGUGUCUGAUGUUAUGUGUGUGCGCUUGCAGGGGGAACGAUGUGCGAUAUGGCUGGAGGAUAUGCUGAGCUUAUUGAAUGAGGUUUCAGCGAUAGCAGCGAGUGUGUGUGUGAGUGUGUUGUGAACAGCGGGGAAAGAAUACAGUAAUAGGCUUAGAGCAGCGGAGGCCCAGUGUCACACUUAAACAGCACACACUCCAGCCUGACUGAGUGACAGCUGUGUGUGUGUGUGUGUGUGUGUGUGUGUGUGUGUGUGUGUGUGUGUGUGUGUGUGUGUGAGGCUCCUCGGCGUCCGUCCUGUGUCACCGUGGUGAACGUGUUGUCUCUGACUUGAUAUUAAUGGGAUUUUACAAUGAGAUCUGCGAAGAUGUGGCCUCGACACAUUUCUCACUUAAAUUAAAAAUGUCAUUUUACAGCCUGGAGACGCUCGUCGGCACGCGGCGCUGAAGGAAAGCGUGUUACAAUCAGGUUUAGCGUGAUUACUUCAGGGACAUCAUCCCUGUGUAAAGGAAUGUCAUCACUGUCGGUGGAAAUCUCACUGUCACGUUUAGAAAAAGAUCAUCUAAGAGUCAGAGGUGUUUUCUUACCUGAGCUUUAACUCAAAGUCUGUGGCUUCAAUGAUCCACAGCAUCACAGGUGCUGUUGGUGGAUCACUGCAUGUACUCAGAUCAAAGGCCAGUGUUGUGUUGUGGUCACAAAGUAGCAUGUAUGUGCUGAGUGGCUUCAUUACUGAGCUGUGACCUUAGAAUUACCUUAACAAACCACUUUCCAAGAGCCAAUAAAGCAGAUUUUGUUUUUGUUUAUUAGUAACUG